UGAGGAAUCUUGCGCAAUGGGGGAAACCCUGACGCAGCAACGCCGCGUGAGUGAGGGAGGUCUUCGGGUCGUAAAGCUCUGUCAGGCGGGAAGAAAUGCAUGGAGGUGAACAGCCGCCAUGCUUGACGGUACCGCCAGAGGAAGCACCGGCUAACUCCGUGCCAGCAGCCGCGGUAAUACGGGGGGUGCAAGCGUUGUUCGGAAUCAUUGGGCGUAAAGAGCGUGUAGGCGGCUUGGUAAGUCAGAUGUGAAAGCCCUGGGCUCAGCCCGGGAAGUGCAUUUGAAACUGCCAGGCUCGAGUAGGGGAGAGGGAAGUGGAAUUCCUGGUAUAGAGGUGAAAUUCGUAGAUAUCAGGAGGAACACCGGUGGCGAAGGCGACUUCCUGGCCCUAUACUGACGCUGAGACGCGAGAGCGUGGGUAGCA
rnacentral:rRNA from 1 species